UGGUAUGCCACCCCCGUGAUCAGUGCUGCUCUCGGUGCUGGGAGUGAAUCCCAGAGGGGUCAGAGCAAGGCGCUGCCUGCUGGGUCCUCACAUUCUAGUGGAAACCCAAAACAUGAACAAAUAAUGUCAGGUAUCCAGGGCGACAGCAGUGAGGAGAGUGAAGCAGCCGGAGGAAACUGUUCCAGGCUAGUGGAACAGCAAGUGCGAGGGCUCUGAGGGGUGCUGGGAAACGGUGAGGCCAGGGUGGGGAGAGCAGCCAUGCGAGGGAAAGAGUUGGGCAGGGGCCAGGGAAGGCAGGGCGUUGCCUCACGGGUAGAGUGAGCAUGAGAGGAUGCCAUUGGUGGACUUCAGCAGGAGAGUGAUGUCUAUGUGUGUUAAAAAGAUGUCGCUGGAAACUGGAGAACUGACUGAAGGGGAUCAUGGGAGCUAGUCUCCAAAGAUGGCCCCUAGUGAUUCCUCCACUCCUCUUGAGGCUGGGUUGGCCUCGUGACUGCUUUGACCAUUAGAAGGCAGUGGUAGGGAUGUUCUGGGACUUCGAGCUCAGGCCUUAAGAGGCCUGCCAGCUGACACUUCCUUCCUCUGAAACACUGGCUCUCGGGCCAGCACGUAGGCCACACGGAGGAGAACCGAGGCCCGCAGCUCUCAGCCCCAGCUGAGGAUGCAGCCAACUGCCUGCAACAGCUGCCGGCCAGGCUGAGUGAGCCGCCUGGACAUCCUGCCCAGUUGAGCCCACAGAGUCCCUGGCCCCAGCAACAUCACAUGAACAGGGGAACCACCUCACCGAGCCCAGGAAAACCACAGAACUGUGAGAUUUAAUACUUGGUUUUGAAGUGGUUUAUUUCACAGCAAUGGAUAACUGAAACGGGCGAGGGUGGACGCAGGACACCAGGAAGCCGGCUGUUGGGGUCGUUUCGGCCAGAGAUGCUGGCGGCCUUGGCCAGACUGGUGGAAGCAAGGGGAGAAGUGAUCAGAUGCAGCGUAACUUUGUCAGUGCAACUUUCAGGCUGGACUGUGAGGGGAAGAUGAGGAAAGCAGCACUUCCCUGCCCGGCUCGCCCCCCUCCAGCCCCUCCGUUGAGAUGACGAUUUUAAACUCUUGCUCUCUCUUCUGACAGUUACCACCAUAUUGCACCAAUUGCAUACACUUUUUUUUAAGGAAGAAAAUAAGAUUAAAGUAAAUCUUUGAGUGGCAAGAGUCUUUUUUUUGGAGGAAGAUUAGCCCCAAGCUAACAUCUGCCACCAAUCCUCCUUCUUUUGCUGAGGAAGACUGGCCCUGAGCUAACAUCCAUGCCCAUCUUCCUCCACUUUAUAUGUGGGACGCCUACCACAACAUGGCUUGCCAAGCAGUGCCAUGUCUGCACCCGGGAUCCAAACUGGGGAACCCCGGGCCACCGAAGCAGAACAUGCAAACUUAACCACUGCGCCACCAGGCUGGCCCCAAGAGAGUCUUCUUAAUCAAGAAACAACACCUCAAAGACAUAAAGGAAAUUAUUAAUAGAUGUGAUCACCAAAAAAUGAAAAAACAAAACUACUUUACUGUAAAAAUACCAUAAGCAAAGUUAAAAGCUGAGCUGGAAUGGAGAGGAAAAUAUUUGCAAAGUAUUUUUUGCAAAAAUAUAACAAAAUUCUUAGACCCUAAAUAUAUAAACACUUCUAAAGAAAGAGAAAAAUUUCAUGGAAAAUAACAUUAACUGGCACUAAGAACUUUCCACGUGUUGCUGCGUCUUGAUGUGUCAUUUUUAGCCAUCUUCUCAGGUGGCCUCGCCCUCCAGUAGCCACGCCCAGGCUUCUUCACAGCGGUGGCCUCGGGUCUGAGAGGAUGAGAGGAGAGGCCUCAAGGCCUCUUUAAAGCCUCGGCUGCAGAACGCACAGUGUCACUUCUGCCACAUUCUGCUGGUCAAAACAAAUCGCAAGGCCAGCGCAGAUUCCAGCGGAUGAAGGAAUAGACUCCCCUUCUCACUGGAAGGGUCAGCAAAGGCACAUCGCAAAGAGGUGUGGCUACAGGGAGGUGUGAUUCACUGGGGACACUGUGACACUGCACCACACGAUGACUGACAUUUCUACCCUCACAACUGGGUGACAGCUUGGCUGGGACUAUUAUUCUAGAUUGGCAAUUAUUUUCCCUAAGAAUGAAGGCAUUGCUGCAUUGUCUUGUAGUUUCCAGUGUUGAAGGCUGAUGCCAUCUUUUUGUUUUUGUUUUUUUUUUAUUGGCAUCUGAGCUAACAUCUGUUGCCAAUCUUUUUUCUUCUUCUUCCUCUUCUCCCCAAAACCCCCCUAGUACAUAGUUGUAUAUUCUAGCUGUAGGUCCUUCUGGCUGUGCUGUGUGGGAUGCCACCUCAGCAUGGCUUGAUGAGCGGUGCUAUGACCACACCCAGGAUCCGAACCUGGGGAACCCUGGGCCACCAAAGCAGAGCGAGGGAACUUAACCACUCAGUCAUGGGGCUGGCCCCCAGGUGAUGGCAUCUUAAUUUCUGUUCCUUUAAAUGUGAUCUCUCUUACUCCUUUCUGAAAGCUUGGGGAUCUUCUGCUUAUCUGCAGUAUGGUAAAGUUUCAUAAUAUGGCCUGUUUGGUCUUCUUUUUUUCUUUGAUCUCCUCCUCCUCCUGUUUUCAUUUACUCUCCUAGGCAUUGGGAAGGUCAUUUUAAUCUGGAAACAUAUGUCCUUCAGUUUGGAAGCUCUUCUCAUAUUAUUUCUUUGAUAGCUAUAUUUUCCACAAAUAUAUUUUUCCACAAAACAUAUUAGAAGAGUGGCAUUAUUUCACUUUUUUGCAAAUCUCUUUAAUACGUGGCUAAAUAGAAGACAGCUGAAUUCUCACAACUACUUCUGCAUUCCAUCUGUUGCAAUAUGUUGUUUUGGUUGAAGUAUAUGAAGAAAUUCCAACUAGGCACAUUUUAAAAGAGGCUUGUGUCUGAACAGACAGUGCAGAAACCAAUAUAACUAGAAACCUGGCAACCAUCUAUUUACCUUAGG
ensembl:lncRNA